AUUAUUAAAUUGGCGAAAAGGCUAAAAUUAUCUUCCAUAUUAAAAAUUACACACAGUUCUUUUGAACAAAACAGAUGAGGUAAACAACUUCAGGCCAAGCUCUGGGCUCUGUCUAAGAUGUUGAGCAGUAGCGCUACAAAGCAACUUCCUUUGCAGAAAAAGGUUUCCAGCUCCAAGGAAACUACUCCCAAGAUAUGGCAACAUUCAACAGAAUAAGUCUUUUAAUUUUAGUAAAGAAGUAACUCUUCAGAUUUUUUUUCCCAGUUAGAAUUGAUUUGAGUAACCUGAGCUGUGACUUACCCAGAGCAGGCGGGGAGGAAUCACUACAAGGUCAUGAACAGAACAUGUUGCAAUGUUUUCACAGGAUUUUCACAAUUAAGUUCAAUAUUCAGAUCACUGAACAAACACAGAUGACUCAGAUCCCUGGACAAACAAACGGCUCCAUUUUUGGGGGAGGGAGGGGUGUAAGGGUGGGGGAGAAAGGGACAAGAGGUCUUAUUUCUCUGUAUGGCAAAAGCCUUCAAGUGUUUACAGAAAGAAGCACAGCCUAUAAAAAAGGAAAAAUCCCCUCGUCCCCACUAAUGCACCUUUUAUUUUAAGAAUAUGCCAACACUUAGUUUUAGCUAAGGUUCCUGCACAGGGUUAUGUGUUGGUCCCCUCCCACUUGCAAACAGCUGAAGCAUGUACUUAUUUGCACUUUGAAUCCAGGUUUGCUUGCACAGCUGCAGCUGCGAUUAACAACCUGAUCCGUGCUUGGCAUGGGCUGGAACUCGCACACUUUGCAAUCAGGCAACUGCCGGAGCACUGACAGUCUGCUAACGGGUCGCUCUCCCAAGGAAACCAAGCAAGUUUUCCAGCAAUUGACGGUACAAGGAUCCUACAGCACCGCAGCAUAAAGAACUGUGGAGUAAGAACUCAAAUAUGCAAACAGGUUUCGGUACAGUUAAUCUAAUCGCAGGUUCUUCCAUGAGCCAGACCCAGGUACUAAUUUCUGCACAUAAAGGGCAAAGAGGGAUAAGAAAGCACAUAUAUCUCUGUAUCCACCCUCUUGGUGACUACCUGUUCACUGCACUUCUCGUUAGGACAAGAUCCGUGCUGCUCUUCCCUCAAAAUGGGAAAGUAACCAUACCAUUACAGAGAGCUUUUGCCUUUGGGGAGGCAAAGGCACGCAGUGCUGCUUGUGGGUAAUUUGUAGCAAUGCACAGAGCCCAAAUGCCCAGAUCCAUACCACAAGCCACACACUACCACCAAGAUGAUACGCUUCACAUACACACAAUAUACUUUUAAUUUUGUUUCCAUAAGUGCUUGGUUUUGUUCAUGGACAGUAGAAAAUCUCUGUUGAGCCCACAGAUGGCAAACAGUUUUUAAACCUGGCGUACACAACCAGAAAACUGACAUAAGAUAUAAACUAUAUAAAUUGAUAUAAGAUAUAAACUAUAUAAACUGAUAUAAACUGAUACAAUACCAAAAAAUUGGUAUUAAACCUAUGACCCUUAUCUAGUGCCCACCACAGACUCAAGAUAAUGGCAAAUCAUUAAGGUACAGAAACAGUGUCUGGGGAUUCAUGAAUAAUCAGGUAGCUACCGUCUACAGAAAGAUGUGAAUUUAAAGAAAAAAAAUGCAAGUAGCUACAGGUCAGAUGGAGCUUCCCAGUUCUGCUAGAGUUCGUGUUUUACUGGCGUAAGCAUCUGGCUUGAAGUAUUUUCUUUCCCUUAGCUACUGACUCAGAUCUAGACAGUAUGGGUUUGUGCCUUCAUCCUCAAAGUAAAUACAAUGAGUUCCACACAAUUAAGACUGAGGAUUUCCCCCAAAUAGCUGUGGUUUCAUUAACUGCUGAAUGCCAGCUAAGAAACAUAUUAAUGUCAUUUCUAACAUUGGGGUGAAGUUUGGGUUUAUUUUUUCCUUUCCGUCAUCACAUCAAGCCGCUCUCUUUUUCAGGACUGUAUUGUUGAGACUGCUUCGCGAAUUCACUGUCAACGCACCAGGAGGAACGAGCCACAUCAACUACAAAGAUGUGUGAUGAAAGGUUAUAUAGAGGUAGAUACAAAGUUGACUAAUAGCUGAACUCUGCUUUACUUUGUUAUGAUACAUGGCCUUCAGAAACCCACUUGGACCAUCAAAUUCUGUAGGCUAUCUCCCCUCUCUGCAUUCCUUACCUUUCACUCGCUCACCCACUUUACUAUACCCUGCUUCAGACACGUUCCUUACAGCCUUUUCCCCAUACAGAAAGGCUAAGAUGGUAGCUGAGAAAAAAAAAAAAAAGUAGAUUAAAUAAUUAUCUCUCUAUAUAUUUAUCUCUUCAGAUUUGUUAGUGCCUUUCUAGAUGUCUGUGUCCCCAGAGAUACCACUUGACUCUCGUCUGAUUCAUACCUGUACGGCAGCUUAAAGAGGGCUUUGAAUCUGAGGUAGGCUUUUGUGCACUCCCAUAAUCUAAUGACGUUAUAUAAAUAACGCAGCCUAAAGACACCAAAAAGUUUUCUCAAAGACUAGUCUUAAAAGUAUUUCUGGUCCUUUAAAACUCCUCCUGCAGCUUGCUCUGCUGAGCACCAUUAACAGACACCAUAUUCUGACAGAAGCUAGAGUUAUUCUUGCAUGGCUUCAAAGACGGCUGAUUCCUUACACAAGAAUGCUAGGAAAAUCAGGUUUCAGUUACCAACGUCUACACUGCAGUCUCUAAAAACAGACUGUAUUAGCCUAGCACGAACCCCACACUUACACUGGUACAGGUAGCCAGCCAGGCAGUGCUCGUUUCUAUGAAUGUAAGAAUAUCCAUUCCUACAUUCUUUAAGAAUUUGACCCUAACUCUAUUCACUCCAAGUAUCUUCAAAUGCCACUGGCACGAGUGGAAGUUGGAUGGCAGCAGAAACACAACUGCUACUCAGACUCUGGUUCCAAGGAAGAGAGGAUGACUGAUUUCUUUGUUGUGUUACAGCAGAUUUAAAAAAGUGAGGUAAAAGUAAUUACAAGAUUGAACACAUACAUUUGGGGUUGGAAGGAAGAUACACUUGAGGUUGGAAAAAGAAAGAAACUCAAUACUGCUGCUUCCAAUCAUUCUUAGGGCUUCUUUGUGCAAGGCUAAUAUUCCCUCGCUGUAUUUUCUCAGGUGGAACACAUAACCAAAACUAGACGAUACAAGUGUUCAAUAUAUUCAUAACAAGGGAAAACUGACUGGAAGCUUGCUCCGCUUUCAUUUUCCCUGAUUUCUUGUUCACAAGCACAAAUUCAAGAUAGAGGCAAAACAAUUUACAGAGUCUGCAAGGAGGGCUUAUUGGCUGCAAUCACACGGCCGAAUUAGAUGGUGCUGCUACAUGCUAAGAGCUGCGGUCAAGGAAAGCUCAGGCAUCAUUAAACAUAAACAGCAUACCCCCAGGCAGAUAAACCCCACGAGGUGAAGGAUGUGGCAACAUCUCUGACUCUGCUCAAACAUCCAGUGACAUUGAACCAUCUGGUAAGAGACGCUCACCACCUAAGACACAACCAUCUGCGACUUACAGCUGUGAUUUGCCCAAGCCACUACGGCACGGUCACUCGCUAUUGCAAGGGACGCAACAGCAGCUGCUCCUCCUUUCUGCCACACAUGCUCAUCAGAGCACAGAAAAAAGAAAAAAACAAGCUGGCAGUUUUGUCAAGACAAAAGAAGUCUAUACAGACUUUUUUCUUGAAUGUCAGCUAUAUUUUGCCUUUUUUUUUUUUAAAAAAAAGGAGAAAAUUGACAAAAUAAUUGUGCUGCUUUUACUCAUAUUUAGUAGCACUUCCCAGUUCACCGAUUUUGGCUAUUUGUAAUUUUUUGAAAGGAAUGCGUGGCUGAGCUGCCAAAAGUAAAACAGGUCCGUGCCUCUCAGAGCUGUUGCUUCACUUAAUCCUCUCCUAUUAUAAGCAGUCAGGACACUGAAUUUUUCCUGUACUCAGCGCUGUUUUCUAUUUCCUCUUCUAGCAAAACCGUAAGGGCCACUGCCCUCGGACAGUCUGCUGCGUUACGCCUGUGCCAUUAAUACAGGCUUGCCAUGCUCUGUGACUGAAGCCUGCCAGUAAUACCAAGCUAAGGUCUCUCCACCUUACAUGACUGCAAAGAAAAUUUAAGGGCAAGAGGCUGCAGCAAAGCACAGGAGAAGAAUUGCAAUACUGCAAAACGUGGCGUGGAGGCUUUAAGUAAGGAUAAGUUACACAGUUCUCAAAACAGACAAGGAUGCUCAUAUUAAACCCAAGACUGCUGCUACGCUGGGCCAGUGUCAGGAGCUCACUGAUAGAGAAAAGCCCCACCAGAAGCAAAGACCCUGCAGUCUCAUACGCUGCAUAAAAUAUAUCUGUAGAACUACCGAAACUAAAUCUCUCCAGCUACUGACACAUAUUCUAUGCAGAGAUAAAGAUUAGUAUUGCCUCUAAAACCAGAAAAUCAGGAAGCAGUAGGAGCAUGUCUUCUCUCAAGCACCGCUAAGAUAAUCUGCUUGGUUGAUCACUAAGUCUUGACUAAAAAAUGCCAAAUCAUGCAUUUUUGGAGGUCCUCUCUUCUUAUUAGGCUGUCCAGAAAGUAAUAUGCUGCAAAUGGCAGUGUUGCAAAGCCUAAGAUGAGACAUCUGCAGAAAUCCAGCUGGGUCUCUUAGUCUGAAUUCCUUUAAGAAGCAAUGCUUAUUUACACAUCAGGGUAACAGAAGAAAUCAAACCAAAUGUUAAUUGCAGACUUCAGUCUGAAAGAUACUCCUUGUCCAGGGCACUGUCAAAAAAAGCCUCAUGAACCCAGAAGGAAGAGAAGCUCCUAAAACUGCAACUCCCAUUACUCUGAAAAAGACAUCUUACAGUCAUGCACGAUUCAAUUGAGCUUAGAAACAGCUUCCAGGAGGAUCAUCAGAUCUAUUACCACAUUUGGUCGCUUACUCAACAAUAAUUAGAGCACUGACAACCUAUUUAUUCCCACCUCAGAAGAAAUUGCCUACUGCAAGUAGCAGCUUUGGAAUUACCAAUCCAUCCACUCCCACAAAGCCUAGAUUCCUCAGAAGCAGUAAGGGCAGUAAACCCUUUAUGGCAGUAAAAUCCAUUAUCAAAACUGGAUGAACCACUAGAAGAGAGACUUGUUUUUUUUCAGUUGAAUGCUUAUUUAUUAUUUACAGCUAAGCAGCCUUUGGGCCAAAAAUGACAAAAAGUGUAACAGCCAACACUCCUUUCCUCCCUCUCACACACAUGUGCAUCACCCUGUCGACUGCUUCCCAUCACAGCUCAUUAGCUCAGGCCAGUAAAAGAAGCUUCUCUUUCCAAAUACAAAGCAUGCAGUUGUACGCAUGCAAGAAACACUCUGGGAAAGCUUCAAGUAUCACAGCACAGUGACUGAUGAAGUUCUCCCACUUCUCUGCUUCCAUAGGCUCCAACAAUAACCCAAUUAUGAAGACACCAGCAUGUUACAGCAUUUUAAGUUUCUCAGCAAGAUUGAUGGUCAGACGAGCCAGCUCUGUUAUGCAUAACACUUUCUUAAGAGGCUUCACACGCACUAGUGUGCCCUCAUCAGGCUGGCAAUGACAAGAGCUGCAAUUCCCAUAUACAUUGCUGCAACAGUUGCACACAGAGACACACUUGAAAAUUACUUUAAAUGUUCCCUCCUCUGAGAGGGAAAAUCAGCCUGCACCAGCCAGGCCACAGGCACUCUCACAGUUUUGGUCAGGGCUUCAAAUGUUACAGGUCAACAGAGCUGAGGCUCUCUUCUUCCAGCUCAGUGGAGAAACCAAUCCUCUCUACACAACGCACUGCUGGACCGACCGCUGGACAGCACCAGAAUGAAACAAGGAGAGAUUAUCACUGCAUCCUGGUUAGGCCCCUGAAUUAAGCCAUGAUUUUAAAAAGUCAACACAACUUGUUUGUGUAUCUUCAAUGUUUUCAGCCGGAGACUGAUAACUGACACAGCGAACGGGCACGGUAAUGACAGCCUUGAAGGUGUUUGGAGGCAACAGCCCUUUGGAAAGAACGAAGCAAGAAGAACUGUAACACCCUCCAAGAACAGGCUUGGAGAGAAUAACACACAUGCUCCCAAAACAGUGAGGUCCCUUCAUACCCCAGAACCGCGCUUUGCUCUCAUUUAUUUCAAGUAUGCUGCUGUUGUGUUUAUCUGUUAAGGCAGAGCCUACCAUACUCGCAGCUCAGGAGGAAUGUGGCUGCACAUUUCCAGGGGCCGACCUAAUCUAAACUUCCUGCCAUCCAGUCCAUAAUCUGAGCUGGUAUUUAUCAAAGUAAGUGCUAACAUAAGCAACAGACAAGCUAAAGCUUUCCAAAUGGAAGGAAGAGUGAUGGCAAGGGGAAAACACAGCCCUCAGCACCAUGCUGGCAAGCAAGUACCUGCUGCCGGGGGAGCUUUUCCACAAGGCAAUUUUGGCCAUUGGGGUCAUGCUCUUACACCCAGAAAAGUCAGUGGUAACACUCUCACUGACCUCAGCUGGAGAAAACUCAACUCGGGUAGAGAAGGAGACAUGGGACAUUUCACUACAAUAAGCAACAAGUAGCAGAUUUCUUAAAUACACAUCUGAACAGGAGCAGAUAGGAAGCAGCAAGAGGUUUCUAAGACGCACACUCCUCCAAAGAACCCAAGUUAACUGUAAUACUGCCCACCUACCAUUCAUCCUAUUUCUUACUACACAGUUCUGGCACACUCAUUUUGUUUGUUUGCUUUAUUCUGAGCCAAACAGUUGCACCCAUCUGCUUUUAAAGAUGCAAAGAAUCACCUCCAAGCAGAUUGGCCAAUUUUUCAUUUUACUUCUAACACCUUCAAUUUUAUGCACAUUACGGAAGACAGCUUUAUUCUUUACAACAUCUGUGGUGCAAGUUAUCUGCUGAUACUGGCAUUUAUUACCUAAUUACAUAUUCACAUGCUUUGGCGUUAUACAGAUUUCACUUAGCUGCUUGGGUGUAAUUUCCAGUGCCCUGCCCUCAGCUAGGAAGAUUAAGUACAGACAUUUUUCAUAUUCUUGUUCUGAACAUGAGCAUGCAAAGUUACCAUUUUCUUCCCUAGGACUUCUUGUCAUACCGCUAUAGACUCAAAAGAUCCCCUUUCCUAUAUGAUUAUGGAAAAAAAAAAAAAAUCACACUUCCUAGUUAGGGGUGAUCUGAGACACUAUUACCCAAAAUGUUGAAACAAAAAAUCUAAAGAAUGAGAAAUAGUUUCUACUCAUGAAUGCUUUAAACAAAAUCUUGACAAAAUGUAUUAUGAAUGGACAAAGUUAACAGCAGCACAUCACAGAUGUAGUUAGCGUAACUACAUCAUCAAGCUCGAAGGUGCUCUGUAACUCCGUGCCUUCGGUCCACAACAGAAAAACACACAGACAUAGCAAUUGAAAGUUGGAAGGAGCAAUUUGACAUGGAACGGAACUUAAAUUCAAGCAACGAGGGCAGACAUUUAAGUGUCCAAAGUGAGACAACAUACACCCUCCCAGACAAAUACAUUUACAUGCAUCUCCCACCUCCACCUCUAUCUGUUUCUGGUGUGUUUUCCUCUUUGCACCUGUUCACUGCUUACUGCCUCUUUGCUUGUCCUGCCUCAGCCUCCAUAAAUUUAGAACGUGCAACAGCCUUGAUCUCCCUAGAGAGGAACUGAGAUACAACGUAGCAGCACCAAGUUCCCUCCAAAAGUAAGGGCAGACUUCCUACAGAAGGAAAGUCGCUCAGGAAGAGGAAUGAAUCACUCAGAUCCAGCACCGAGGCCCUCACCACCACAGAACAGGUCAACUGAGACAGUGCGGGGACAUAACCUCAUGUACAACCUAGGUACCACCUAAAUGGCAGCUUCAGCUUAAAAGGCUGAAUAAUAAAUCCGAUGAAACGCAGCAAGCACUGAGAAUGGAGGGAAAAGGAGAACAGCAGAGUAAGCUUAAGGGAAAAAGCUUCUUUAGGUGGUGAGUCGAGGUGUGAAUGGAAACUGAUGAGGACAGCUCAAGGCAGGAAUCUGGAACCCAGAGGAAAGCAGUGAAUAUGCAAACAGGAGAACAGGAUGUUUUCAGCCAUGCGGGUGUCUGUCCCCUCAACUCUAACAAUGUAUGUCUAAAAAUCUGAAGUUGAACCCAGAUCAGUUAAACCCAAGGCAACCUCUGCCUUAAUCAAAACAAAAUCCAAGUUUGGGGAUUUCGUACAAUACCCAAUGAAAAUCACAUAUGACGUGAGAAAUAAUUACACAUCCUUUAAAAAAAAAAAAAAAAAGAAAAAGAAAGAUUUCUUCAUCUCCUAUUAAAGGACUUUAGUCCUACCAUACUGCAGAAAUUAAAUACUUACUUUUCAUCUGUCAAAUACAACAUACAAAGCUACAUACUUUCAACAGAAUCUCAGAUCGCUUGCAUUUCACAAAAAAGUAUCUUGUCUGAAAUGCUGUUUAACAAUUCUGUCUCGUUCAUAUUCUGAUCUCUAUUUAAGUUUCAGUAAUCACGGGACUUGGUCUUUAGUUCAGCAUAAACUCUGCUCGGUCCCAGCCUACAUAUUUGUCACAUAUGAAGCUCCUUGCAUCAAGCAAGCACACAGCACCUCACAAGUCAGUACUUGUGACUGGGUGUGGGAUGUCACGCCUCUGACCCAUUCUUUUUACCUACACUUAUCCAGCACAAAUCUGAGUUACGCAGGUGAAGCAGGCUCCAUUUGGUGCAAGCGAGCACAGGCUGUGCGAAACCUCCAUCGUGCAGUCUGUCUGGAGCCGUCAAGUUUGGGAGCCGGGGCCGCUCACACCCACUUGUGCUGGAGAGAGCUGGAAGCCCUGCUGCUAUAAAUACAGUGCUGACUGAAAUGCUGAAAGCAGACGGAAUAAAUCACCGCAGGCCUCGUUUGCCAGUUAGGAUGUGGUCCCUGAGAUGAGUUGGGGUAAGCCCUUCAGAGAGCGGCCGAGCGCUCAGACACCUGUGGGAGCUCAGAGUUUGGGCUGGGUCCGGGAUGCUCCGAAACUGAGGCAGCAAGGAAGCCAGAAAGCCGCUGAAUAUUUCCCUUUCCACAGCUGUGCAGCACUGUUGCAUCGGAAACAAAACGUCGCUGAAAUCGAACCGGAAUCUGGGCAUCCGCAGCCCGGUACCGCUUCCACAUCUCCAGGCAGCAGAAAGCUCUCCUGGACUGGGAAGUAAGGCCCUCUGCACUUCUCCAGCCAUUAUGAAGACACUGGUUUAAAUCUAACGACCCCAGAGGGGUCUAGUCUAAAUCAGAACACUCAUAUUUUGCAGAGUAAAAGAGUAAAGCAGCAAAUCUAGAAAUGCAGCCAUGUUGAAGAUAAUCUUUCAGGAAAUGGACAAAAUCUGCAGUUAUUUUUCUGGCAAAGCUGCCGUGGAUUGGUCCCAUAAUGUCUGUAGUAUUUACAGAUUCCACAACUAAGCUGAAAAAAUCAUCCUGUCUCUGAAAUCUGUUAAAGUACAUGCAAAUCUUCUAGUUACAGUGGUAAAUUCCUACUGAAAUCUGUAUUGUUUCAACUUAUACAUAUAUCCCCAUAUUUUAAAAGUAAUAUUACACUUUAAAGCACAAUUAUAUGCAGAUUAGCAAAACAUUUUCCACAAAUACAUACAAAUGUGUUGCAGUGCCACCCGAACAAAAAUUAUAAGAAAAUACACAGAGAAAAGUUUCUGAACUAGGAGAGGAAAGUUGUGUUCAGUCUGUAUUACGUAAAGAUUGGUUUAAUGGCUGGUGGUGAAAACUGGAAAGGAGGAAAAAGUAUUUAAUGAAUGAAAUCUAGCUUUUGCGAGGCCGAAGAAAAAUCUGUUUCCUGAAGCACUGGAAACGUGACUUGAGAAAACCUACAAACUCCAGACGAUUCAGCUGAGGCCACCAGUGUAAUCAUAGAAUGAAUCAUAAUCUCACUUAAGCUUCUGCGAUUUUAUUUCAUUAGUCAGAGCAAGCAACAUCUUCACGUGUCUUCAUCCCUCCUUAGAAAGAAAGUAGAGCGGACAUGGAUGCUUACCAGAAAGCAGUGAUUUUAUGCCAAAAGCGAACACAACAAGUGAAGCUAAAAGUACUAGAGAGCAUUGCAUAAAUGUGGUGUGUGAAGAUUUUUUUUCCUUCAGAUUUGAUUCUUCUCUACGUUGAGAUUGUCACCCAGGAGCCAGAUAAAGAAGUGCCUGAGAUAAUAGCUGUGUCUGGAUCAUUCACGCCAGUUUUCUGAUGGCAAAGCCUGGAGCUAGAAUAUGUGAGCUGCCCUAACACAGUGUUCCACUCUUCUUGGACCUAAAAGCCCUCCUGGCUGCCUCCCAGUUCCAUGAAAUCUGCUGCUGAAACUGUCAUUGGAAGCUUGAAGGAGAUGCAAGGAAAAGCAGGACACACAAAUAAGAGAAGCAGAUGACUGGAAAUUCAAAGCCAUUAGGAACAGGUAAGAGAAAAGUGAAUGUAAAAAUCUGAACGAUGGAGGAAUGCUUUUUGGUGAAGGAAAGAACAGUAUGUUGUCCAGCUGCAGUUUUUUCAUUCUAAUGUUCUUUUUCUGUGUUAGAAGAUGAAGAUUUUUACUAUGACUUUUUAACUGUCACAUAAUUGUAUCUGUAUAGGCUGAAGGUACAUGCCAGCCAACAUGCUUUUUAUCUAAACUGAGAAAAUACAAAAGACAUGGAAAGUCCUUAUGAGAAGGGUGCCUCUCAAAGCAUCAUCUAUUUUACUAAAUAACUGGAAUUGCCAAGUAGCAGGUUUUAAUUGCCUUGGACUAAUGUAUGUAAGAAGUGAACAUGCUUUGGUAUCUAAGCCAAAACUGCUUUUCUCCCCAGUAUGAUGAGUGAGACUAGGGCUACUACCAUAUUUUCCCUUCAUGUUGUAAUUAAUAUCAUAUUUUGGGAAUAUGAAGGAUUGUCCCUGUAAGGAAAUAUGCUAAGAUCAUGAGAAUCAGCAAGUAACUAGCUUUCUUUAAAGUGUCAGAAUUGAUCUCUCAUGGGAGAGAAGAUGAUUGUGACUUCCUGAACAAUUUUUCUUUCUACUUCCUGUACAUUAUCUGAAGUAGGUUGCUUGCACCCUAAAUCAGAGCUGUCGCUGUGCUAGUUUUCUGUAGGUAGUACUCAGCAUAGGCUCUGGUUUUUCCUUGGAUUCUCUGUAUGCUUGCUGCAAGACAAACAGCCAUACUUUACAAAUAUAUACAGCAGAAUCGUUGUACAGUUUCCUCUGAACACAAAACCUCAUUAUAUUCACAAGCACUUAUAAUUCUCAAGUAUUUCAAAUUCUAAAAGUUGGCAGAUGAGAAUGUAUGGCAUUUAUUUGCUAAAUUUCCACCAUGAAGAGACUCUUUAUAAUACCUUUCAUGAAUGUAGCUUGUUUUUCAAGUGGUGAAUUGGCUGCUCAUCAUGUAAACAAUGUGUUAUUGAUAUGUUGAUGUAUUACUCCCAUGGACCAAACAUAAGCGUGAGUGCUGGAUGUGCAGUGCAGGCAGAAGCACGCAGAACUGGACUGCCACUCAGUGGUGGUGGAGAUAGACGAUCAUUUCUCCUGCCAUCACCCACUGGCACUGACAUGACACAGCUACAUCGUCAACCAGCCAAGAUAAAGUGGUCACAAACAGAGGUGCAGAAGUACUGUACAACUUUAGUAUAGCAUCCUAGGAAUGUCAGAGCAAUUAUAAAUAGACUUCGUAAGUGAUUCUGAAAAGGACAAUAGAAAGCCAAAUGCCAUAAAGCUUAAUUUAGUCCAACAGUAAAACGCCAUUAUUAAAGAGAACUGUCUGGUCUGCUCUAUCACAUCAGUGACUUGGACACUUACCUACUAUCAUUCAUCCAUGAUUUUCUGUGGAAUGUAUCAAAAUGACAUUACUGUCCUGGUGGAUUGUUCAUCAUGGUGCUCUUACUUCAAUACUGCAACAUUGGGAUGCUUUUGAUAGCUAUGACAUACCUUAGAUUAAAUCAUCUUCCCUGUUUGCAUCACACUAGUAUGUACAGAUGAGCCACUCUUCUUUUUCAGGAUCAAAGGACAUCCUACUGCACUUAAGAAACUCAUUAAAUCUGUAUCUAUAAAUAAAGCAUUUGUUCCAACAGCACCAGGUGUCCUUGAACCACUACAAUGAGCAGCUCUGCAGGAUGUGUCCUAAAUGUACUCAAGGCUCCACUGAAUGAUGAAAAUGUGACUUGCCUGGUAAGUGGCCUGGGAACAACUUGUUAUGGCCUAUAAAGCAGUAGAAAAAGUGCACAUAGUGGUGCUUCCAGAGCUGAAACACAAAUCUAAUUACUCUCCCAUCAGAUGGCUUAUUUGAGACUCUGAAAAAUUGCUUGACUGACUACAAAGUUUGCUUUGUGGAUUAAUAGGCUAGUUUAAUAUCCACAGUCCUCACUUUGUAUGAACUACUGCUUCAUGAACUUUGUUGUGCAGAUAUUAAUUGCUUUGGCCUUUAUGUAAUAUAUGUGUAUAUUGCUGCUGCUUUUGCAAAUGAGAUCUGCCUUGUGUAACCUUUUUAUCCCAUGACCGCUGUUAGGUUUUUGUUUGUUUGUUUAUCCCUACAAAUGGAAAAGAAAUCAAUUUGUUUUCCAAGUUGGAAAUCAUUUUCAGGUUUAUCAGCAGCUGAAUGCCUAGUCUGACAUUCAUGUUUCAUAAUUAUUGAAAUAAUGUUUAAUUCAAUACGGUGAUACUUUUAAAACAGAAGCAGAAAAAAAUGUACAAUCAGUAUGAUUUUAUAUACAAAACUGAUUAAACUAUCAUAGUAAUAAACUUUAUUCUGGGGACAACUUACAUUUAUAAAGAGUUACUGGGCCAGGGAGGUGAGCAAAAGGAUCUUUUGUCCAUUUCACAUCAUGACAAGAACUUCUUGGUAUUGAUGCUAAAUUUAUUAGGGCUAGCCACAGUAUUUAGGCCACUCCUUACAGCUACUAAGGAGCAAGUGCAUGCUUUUGUCCUUUACCAGUUCCUUGUACUUGUGGUGGCAGUUUUCAUUGCAGUGGGUUCUACUGUAUUUUCACAAAAUAAAUA